rnacentral:rRNA from 1 species
UACGUAGGGUGCGAGCGUUAAUCGGAAUUACUGGGCGUAAAGCGUGCGUAGGCGGUUCGUUAAGUGCGUCGUGAAAGCCCCGGGCUCAACCUGGGAAUGGCGAUGGAAACUGGCGGGCUGGAGUAUGGCAGAGGGGGGUGGAAUUCCGCGUGUAGCAGUGAAAUGCGUAGAGAUGCGGAGGAACACCGAUGGCGAAGGCAGCACCUCUGGGACGUGACUGACGCUGAGACGAGAAAGCGUGGGGAGCAAACAGG